GACAGAGGCCUCGAGCGUUAGGCGGAAUCACUGGGCUUAAAGCGUGUGUAGGCGGAUCGUUAAGUACCUUGUGAAAUCCCACGGCUCAACCGUGGAACGGCUGGGUAUACUGGCGGUCUUGGGCCAUCUAGGGGCGACCGGAACAAACGGUGGAGCGGUGAAAUGCGUAGAUAUCGUUUGGAACGCCGAUGGUGAAAACAGGUCGCUGGGGAUGUGCCGACGCUGAGACACGAAAGCCAGGGGAGCAAACGGG
rnacentral:rRNA from 1 species